GACGAACGCUGGCGGCGUGCUUAACACAUGCAAGUCGAACGGUAAGGCUCCAGCUUGCUGGGGUACACGAGUGGCGAACGGGUGAGUAACACGUGGGUGACCUGCCCUGCACUUCGGGAUAAGCCUGGGAAACUGGGUCUAAUACCGGAUAGGACCAUGGUGUGGAUACUGUGGUGGAAAGUUUUUUCGGCGUGGGAUGGGCCCGCGGCCUAUCAGCUUGUUGGUGGGGUAAUGGCCUACCAAGGCGGCGACGGGUAGCCGGCCUGAGAGGGUGGACGGCCACAUUGGGACUGAGACACGGCCCAGACUCCUACGGGAGGCAGCAGUGGGGAAUAUUGCACAAUGGGCGGAAGCCUGAUGCAGCGACGCCGCGUGGGGGAUGACGGCCUUCGGGUUGUAAACUCCUUUCACCAUCGACGAAGGGUUUCUGACGGUAGAUGGAGAAGAAGCACCGGCUAACUACGUG
rnacentral:rRNA from 1 species